rnacentral:rRNA from 1 species
AACUAACAAGGAUUCCCCUAGUAACGGCGAGUGAACCGGGAAGAGCUCAAAUUUGAAAUCUGGCGUCCUCAGGGCGUCCGAGUUGUAAUCUAUAGAGGCGUUUUCCGUGCCGGACCGUGUCCAAGUUCCUUGGAACAGGAUAUCAAAGAGGGUGACAAUCCCGUACUUGACACGAUGACCGGUGCUCUGUGAUACGUCUUCUACGAGUCGAGUUGUUUGGGAAUGCAGCUCAAAAUGGGUGGUGAGUUCCAUCUAAAGCUAAAUAUUGGCGAGAGACCGAUAGCGAACAAGUACCGUGAGGGAAAGAUGAAAAGCACUUUGGAAAGAGAGUUAAACAGUACGUGAAAUUGUUGAAAGGGAAACGAUUGAAGUCAGUCGUGACUGAGAGGCUCAGCCGGUUCUGCCGGUGUAUUCCCCUCAGUCGGGUCAACAUCAGUUUUGUCCGGUGGAAAAGGGCGGUAGGAACGUGGCACCUCCGGGUGUGUUAUAGCCUGCCGUCGCAUACAUCGGGUGAGACUGAGGAAUGCAGCUCGCCUUUAUGGCCGGGGUUCGCCCACGUCCGAG